rnacentral:rRNA from 1 species
GGCCUUUUGAUUAUAAUUUAAGGUCUGACCUGCCCAAUGAGAAAUUAAAUGGCCGCGGUACUUUGACCGUGCAAAGGUAGCAUAAUCAUUAGUUUUUUAAUUGAAAGCUGGAAUGAAAGGUUGGAUGAGAAAAUAACUGUCUCUAUUUAAAUUUUUUAGAAAUUUAUUUUUAAGUUAAAAAGCUUAAAUAAUAUUAGAAGACGAGAAGACCCUAUAGAGUUUUAUUAAUUUUUAUUAUUAAUUUUUAAGUAUUUACUUCUUUAUAAUAAAAAUUAAUUUGAUUGGGGUGAUUGAAAAAUUUAAUAAACUUUUUUUAUAUAUAUACAUUUAUUUAUGAUUAAAUGAUCCUUUUAUAAAGAUUACAAGAUACAAUUACCUUAGGGAUAACAGCGUAAUUUUUUUAAAGAGUUCAAAUCGAAAAAAAAGAUUGCGACCUCGAUGUUGGAUUAAAAUAAAAUUUUGGUGUAGAAGCUAAAGUAUUUAGGUCUGUUCGACCUUUAAAAUUUUACAUGAUCUGAGUUUAAACCGGUGUGAGCCAGGUUGGUUUCUAUCUCUAUUAAAUUUUAAUAUCUUAGUACGAAAGGACCAGAUAUUUAAUUAAAAAUUUUAAAUUUGAAUAAAAUU